UCUCACCUAUGUAAUCAUAUUAGGAAACAGCUUGGAACCAAUUUCCUCACAUGUCUUACUUCUGCCUCAUCUGCCCCCAAAUCUCUUAAGUUGCUGACUUCAGAGAUGGUGAAGGAUGUUUGUCAAUUUCCCUUCCUUCCCUCCCUCCCUGAUCUGUCUCCGAAAUCUGAUCCUCUCUUUUCCCCCAACCUCUUUUUUCCCCCAGUCUCUUGGAGGUGAUACAGUCUUUCCCACACUUAAUAACUCUUUCCCCCACUGUGGCCAAGAGCAGAUUGUGAUGCACUGCUUUUACUCUGUCUCUCACCUAGUUUUACAUUUUCCCCACCUGUGUUUCUUGGUCCUCAAGUUUCCCAGGAAUGCCACGAAACUUUCACUCAAGCUGUUCAAGGGUGUAUUCCUUCAGCCUGCCAAAAGGCCCUCUCUAGAUGGGUUUUCCCCAAGUCCCCAAGUGCUUUUGCUAACGAAACUGCUGAACGGGAGCUAAUUUAUCACUCUGUUAUCACUAUAUUAGGGCAUGAGAGAGCCAUACCCAGAAUGAAUUAUGGAUCCUUCCAGUGUCCCAUGCAUCCUGUACAUCAAGGGCCUGGCAGUCAUACCUGGCCGGCCUCUUCCUGACUCCCAUGGAAGUCACCUCAACAGUACCUGCUGACAUCUGUAUCCAUCCAGGCCCUUGAGGAAACCACUCUUUCCCAUCCGCUGACAUGCUGCUGAGCUGCUGGGCCAGUUCAGAUGCUGAUACCUUGCUUCGGUGGCCCACUUUCCUGAUGAUGACCUUAGAACUCUUCCUCAGCAAUCACCAUCUGGCUCCACAAAGAACGACAGUUAGGAGACAGGUGUCAUCUGAUUAAUACCGGAGGCGUCUCGAGCUGCUUCCUGAGGUGGUGUGGCUUUCAUGGACGCUGAGGCCGAACAUGGAUGCUGGAUGCUAAGAGGCACUGCAUUCCUUCUACACUGUUCUACCCAUCUACAUUCAUGGAUGAACUGCACUGUUGACAGGUCUGAUUUUCUUUCUGCCACAGUCAGCUCUAUUAUCCUGCCUCAGGCUUGAACCUGCAGCAGCUGAAUCUUGUAUUUGCUCUGCCCGAGGCCUUAACCUGCUGCUCUUCCCUUCAUCCUUUAUUUGUUCCUUCCUUGUGCCACCUGUUUGUCUCAUCUGGCACUAUAAGAAGGCAUCCCUCCAUCUCCUUA